ensembl:snRNA RNU6-935P RNA, U6 small nuclear 935, pseudogene
GCUUGCUUUGGCUGACAUAACUAAAAUUGCAAUGAUACAGAGAUUAGCAUGGUUCCUGCACAAGGAUAAUGCACAAAUUUGUGAAAUGCUCUGUAUUUUU